UCACGUUGAAACACCUGUUACUGUACGAUAUCCGAAGUUAAGCAACAUCAAGCCUUGUCAGUACCUAAAUAGGUGACUUCUUGAGAAUACCAGGUGCUGCAAG